rnacentral:lncRNA from 10 species
GCCGGGGGGCGGAGUCUGCGCUGAGUGAAGAGGUGCCAGAAUCCGCGAAGAGGGUCGACGAAUGCGCUGCCGCGGAGGUGGGCCAAAUAAUCAUGGCAACAGGACUUUUAGAAGCACGUCCUCUGAAAGCCAUUUUCUGCCUGUGGUUGGAAAGGGACUGUGAGUCUUUCCUCAGGAAGUCAGUAGCCCUACCUGGUGAGGUGAUCAAGAGUUUGCUAGCACAAGAGAUGAAGCAACAAUGGCCAUGAGGGAUUCAAGGAUUAUGCGUCUCUGCACCCUACAAUACACCAACUGGCAGUUCCAUCAUUUGAAAGAAAAUCUUCAAGGAACUGCUGCGGAGACCUUGGGUUCACCAUUCAG